rnacentral:rRNA from 1 species
AUUGAACGCUGGCGGAAUGCUUUACACAUGCAAGUCGAACGGCAGCACGGGGCAACCUGGUGGCGAGUGGCGAACGGGUGAGUAAUACAUCGGAACGUGCCCAAUCGUGGGGGAUAACGUAGCGAAAGUUACGCUAAUACCGCAUACGAUCUACGGAUGAAAGCGGGGGAUCGCAAGACCUCGCGCGAGUGGAGCGGCCGAUGUCAGAUUAGGUAGUUGGUGGGGUAAAGGCUCACCAAGCCAACGAUCUGUAGCUGGUCUGAGAGGACGACCAGCCACACUGGAACUGAGACACGGUCCAGACUCCUACGGGAGGCAGCAGUGGGGAAUUUUGGACAAUGGGCGCAAGCCUGAUCCAGCCAUUCCGCGUGCAGGAUGAAGGCCUUCGGGUUGUAAACUGCUUUUGUACGGAACGAAACGGCGAGCUCUAAUACAGUUUGCUAAUGACGGUACCGUAAGAAUAAGCACCGGCUAACUACGUGCCAGCAGCCGCGGUAAC